AUCUGCUGGGCGGAGCAUCUGAGUUUAGCUGAGUCUCGGAGAUGGAAUUGGGGCAGGCGCUUGUCACAUAAAGUCCGUGCCCUGCUCGCGGGCUCCUGUCGCAACACUGACAAACCCGGGAGCCUUCGUGAGAGUGCAAAAAUGAGAGAUGAGGCACCAGAGGUCCCCAGGGCGCAAAUCUGAAAGCCAGCGCCUCCUGAGCACAGGCUGCCAGGGGCGAGACGACAUUAGACAUUGCCCCCCAGAUAUAAGAAGCAUCGCUUCCUUCAGACAGAGCAGAUUGAUAGAUGAAGCAUAAAACAAGACCAGAUGCUGUGGUUUCCAGGAUGCACUUGGCUUCCCAUCCUUUAUGACCUGGAGCAUUUUUUGCCGUCUGUUCCUGAUGUGUCCACCAGAGACCAGUCCCAUUAGGUAUCCAUAAGGUUUAAGAACAUGGACAUUGCAACCCAACAGACUUGGCUUUAGAUGUAAGAUCUGUUAUUUACUAGCUCUGUGGCUUUGGGCAAGUUAUUAAGCUCUAUAAGCCUCAAGUUCCUCACCUUUAAUACAGGGACAAAAGCGGUACUCACACCAUGGAGUUGCACUGAGAAUUAAAUGAGACAGUGCAUGGCAAGUGCUGAGCUCUAUGCCUGGCACUUAGCAAGUCCUCAAUAAACAUGCCAUUGUAAUACCUCAGAUGUUAUUUUCAUUAUACUAUGAAGUGAUAUUCUGUCAUUUCCAGAAGCCCUGUAUGGACAAAGAUUCCUUCAUAUCUCCUUAGUGUUUGCAUGAGGACUUCAUCUCUCAAGUUGUCAACUGUGGCAUCUUGUCUGGGAAUGUUUAUCUUCUCUGACUUGUGAAGAGGCUAUGCCUCUCUCUCUUUGAACUCUUAGUUCUCUCAUUCUCAGUUUUAAUACACUCCUCUGAGUGAGUCUUACUGAUUAGUAGUCUAUAAACCAUUAAUGAUAGUUAUAUAAAACCUGUAAGGUUCCAUCCUUGUGACCCACCCCCCCCAGACAAAUAAGUUUAAAAUAUUGGUCAAUCCAUGAAAAUGACUAUCUGGAUAUUUCUCAGUUCACUGAAGACCAUCAUUAAUAUUGGCUGUCGUUCCCAUUCUGUCUAAUAACAGCCAUUUAUUGAGCUUACAGUUCUUGCUCUCAUGGAGUUCUGAAGACUCAAAUAUCUUGUGAAAAUGCAAGUCUUCAUAGAACUAUUGAUUUUUUUUAAGGUAGAGGUUUAACCUACCUUUCAUCUCCAUUCAUUAUUUGUUUUGGGAAAACUUCCUUACUUAGAUUGCCGAGUGACUUUUGCACAGAAGAAAGAAAUUAGUUCAAUGGAUGAAAGUGAGAUGCUGAACCAGAUUUGAGAUUUUAGAGGUCAAUCCUUUGCAUGUCUUAUCAUUUCUUUGCAAAAUACAACCUUUUUGUAACACUUGAGGACUAUCAUAACAUCAGAGCUGCUAUUCUUCAUACAAUAUUUAAUUCCUUUGAACAUAACAUGUUUUUUAAAAAAUAUUUACUAUGUGCAACUCGUGGAAAUGCUCCUAAAAUUGAGGGAGUUCUACUGAGCAAAAGAAAUGGAAUAUCCUGUAUAGAGACUGAGUGCAUGGCUUCCAAAGGCAAAGGCAAGGGCAAAACUUGCUAAUUUUAGAUGUUUAGGGAUGAAAUGUCUACUAGACCUUGUUUCAUCUUAGAGAGACCCAACAGUAGCAUACUAGCAAGCUACUGUUAAAUUUGCCCUCCCCACCUGUUUAUUGCCAGUGUUUCUGGAAACAGAAAAACAAAACAAAGGGGUAAGGAAAAAAAAAAGCAAAGUCUGCAUGUAACUUGAGUUAGAGAAGUGCAGGAAACAAAUCAAAUAUACUAAGUUAGCAGUGCUCAAAGUCCCAUUCAACUUCAGAAUAGUAUACCUGGUAGAGUUCCACAAACCUUUCUCCUUUCUAGCCUGCUGCUUAUUAAGUUUAAAUGCCAGAACCAUUCUGAGAGCUCUGAAUGCCCAUAUGAGGCCUAGAGCCAGAGACAUGCCCCACACCCAUUUCUUUAUAUUUUCUGAAU